UACGUAGGGUGCAAGCGUUGUCCGGAAUCAUUGGGCGUAAAGCGCGUGUAGGCGGUUCGGUAAGUCUGCUGUGAAAGUCCAGGGCUCAACCCUGGGAUGCCGGUGGAUACUGUCGAACUAGAGUACGGAAGAGGCGAGUGGAAUUCCCGGUGUAGCGGUGAAAUGCGCAGAUAUCGGGAGGAACACCAAUUGCGAAGGCAGCUCGCUGGGACGUCACUGACGCUGAGACGCGAAAGCGUGGGGAGCAAACAGG
rnacentral:rRNA from 1 species